UGCCGGCGACCGGCGACGGGUGCGUAACGCGUAUGUAACCUACCUUUGACAGGGGGAUAACAUCGAGAAAUUGGUACUAAUACCCCAUAACAUCACCGGAGGCAUCUUCGGUGGUUGUAAAACUCAGGUGGUCAGAGAUGGACAUGCGUUGUAUUAGCUAGUUGGUGAGGUAACGGCUCACCAAGGCGACGAUACAGUAGGGGGACUGAGAGGUCCAACCCCCCACAUUGGUACUGAGACACGGACCAAACUCCUACGGGAGGCAGCAG
rnacentral:rRNA from 1 species